rnacentral:rRNA from 1 species
CACGUAGGGUGCGAGCGUUGUCCGGAAUUACUGGGCGUAAAGAGCUCGUAGGCGGUGUGUCGCGUCGGCCGUGAAAACCUGCAGCUUAACUGUGGGCUUGCGGUCGAUACGGGCAUCACUGGAGUUCGGCAGGGGAGACUGGAAUUCCUGGUGUAGCGGUGAAAUGCGCAGAUAUCAGGAGGAACACCGGUGGCGAAGGCGGGUCUCUGGGCCGAUACUGACGCUGAGGAGCGAAAGCGUGGGGAGCGAACAGG